rnacentral:lncRNA from 1 species
AUUAACAAUGAGUGUUAAUAAAAGAGGACCGUAUAAACAAUACAUAUAUGAGGAACAUAACCCCGAAAUACCAGCAUCAACAGCAUUUUCUCGAAAAAAAAAAUAGAGAACAGUAGAUGAGAGAAGUAGAUGACAUUUUAUCAUGCUUAAGUUAUACAGAAGAUGAUUCAUUAUGUUCAGAUAACUUAUCAGAGUAUGAAAUUGAUUUGGUCUCUGACAUGGACGAAUAUGAAGGAAUUCCAACUGCUAAUGACAAUAAUGUUAUUGAUAAUGCCAAUGAUCAUAAUCAAGAUCCACACAUGGAGCAGUUUCGCCAAAUACUGUACGAAGGAUGCAAUCUUUCUAAAGAAGAAAGCAAAAUGUUGCUUGUAAGUUUGGCUCUUCGUCAUCAACUGACUGAUGCUGCGUUGGAAUCUCUUAUUCAAGUAAUUGAUUGUCAUCUUCCUCGUACACAUCAUGGCUCCAAAUAUUUAUUAUUAAAGUGAUUACCAGAAAAUAAAGCGCGUAAAUAUUAUUAUUGUCCGGAAUGUUAUAUGAUAUUGAAUUUACGUACCGAUAAUAGAAUGAAAUGUGAAGUUUGUACAACAAUUUACAAAGAAAAAUAUCUCGAUAAAAGAAAUAAUUAUUUUAUGCAUAUUCCACUCAGAGAAUAAUUAAUAGAAUUAGUAAAGACUGAAGAUUUUGCACAAUUCCGAAAAACUAAAGAAAUGGAAAGUGAUAUCAUUAAUGGAAACAUUUACCGUAAUUUAAGAAGUAAAAAUAUCAUUGGAGAUAAUGACAUUACCCUCCAGUGGAAUUCAGAUGGAGUACAAUUAUUUAAGUCUUCUAUAUCAUCCAUUUGACCGAUUUUAGUUACGAUUAACGAAUUGCCUUAUCAUUUGCGAAGGCAACACAUUCUCUUAGCUGACAUAUGGUUUGACACAUCUACGAAAGCAAAUAUGAACAUUUUUCUUCAGCCAUUCGUUGAUGAACUUAUUGAUUUACAUAAUAAUGGUUUUAUUACAACAACAUUCAUGCAUAAGGAUGAAGCAAUAUGUAUUAAAGUUCAUACACUUGUAGCUCCUGUUGAUUCAAUAGCAAGGUCUAUGAUACAAAACAUAAAAUAGUUUAACGGAAAAUACGGAUGUUCAUAUUGCUAUAAUAAAGGAAAGGUAGUCAAGACAAAAAGCAGGGGUUUUAAACAUAUUUAUUGUGGAGAUGUUUAUGCUUUACGUCAUAAAUAUCAACACAACAAACAUGUUAAAAAAAGUAUUUCAAAAAAUCAUUCAGUAAAAGGCGUUAAGGGUCCUUCGGUAACACAACUUAUACCGCUCUUUGAUAUAAUUAAGUCUUUCCCGCCGGAUUAUAUGCACAGUGUUGCGGAAGGCGUAGUUAAACAGUUUGUUAUGGCGUGGUUUGAUUCCAGCAAUCAUAAUAAAGAGUGGUAUUUAGGGAAAUACCAACAAGUUUUUGAUAAUAAAUUGACAAAUAUAUUACCUCCAUCAGAAAUAACACGAAUACCACGAUCGAUAGUUCAAAGAAAAUUGUUAAGGCAUCAGAGUGGAAGAAUAUUUUACUGUACUAUUCAUUGCCUUGUUUAAGUAGAUUAAUACCAUAGAAAUUUAUUAAACUGGCUACGUUGGCUACUUUUUGUA